GAUAGCCUCCGAUCCUAACAUGAUUUCUAUAACGUUUUCAUAUGAUUUGCACUCAUUUUAUAAAUAUACAAAAAUCCAUGGAGGGGAAUAGUGCCAGGCAGCUGCCUGACACUUCUCCAUUGACCCGAACAAAUUAUGAUUUUACCCAGCUUAGAAUUACACGAUUUGGACCCCGGUUAAUAUACAAAAUCCAUGGAGGGGAGUAGUCAGGCAGCCUGACACUUUCCCGUUGGCCCGAACAAAUUACGAUUUUACCCCAGCUUAGAAUUACGAUUUGCCCCCCAGUUCAAAAUUCCAGUCUUACCAUCGUUGAAGAUUUCGACAAAUUACGAUUUUACCCCAGUCAAAUUUACAAUUUUGCCCUCAGUUCAAAAUUACAAUGUUGCCACCGUUGUAGCUUUUGACAAAUUAUGAUUAUAGCCAUUAUACCCCAGUUGAACUUACGAUUUAUCCCCGGUUCAGAAUUACAGUCUUUUCAUCGGUUUCGUUUUUUUUUUCUAGCAAAACUUUGAUAGUGUUUUGUUUUAAUUGGUAGAGAAAUAUUCGGUCUAGCGCCCCGUAAUACGGGCGGGGCGUAAAACUAGUUCAUUUACAUAUAUAAUAUCUAUUUAGUUAUAUGCAAUUAACACUUAAUCAUGUUUAAUUAGUGUAACACCCCGAAAACAGGUUUGGAAAUUAAACCCCGUUAAUACUAAAGACGGGGAAAGUACCGUUAGCGGUAAAAGUAAACCGGAAAAUAUUAGGAAUCAAAUGAAUAAUCCUAAUAUUAAUUAAAAGUGAAGAAGAGCUUCCAGGAAAAUAGAAUGGAUAAAAGGCCCGAUUUAACGGGACUUGAAAUAAAACGGGUUUUAACUCCCGGAACCCACUAAGUUAACUAGGUAAAAUUAACCUAGUUAGUAAUGAGUAACUAAAUAAUAAACUAUGGGUUAUAGUUUCAUUUAUGAAUCUCUAAACUUGAGGGGCUAAACAUGGGCAACUAGAGAAGUGUUUUAUUAAAACACUUAAAUAAAAAAAAAAUAAAACACAUACAUGUGUGUACGUAUGCGAUCAGAAGAAGGAGCCAGGAGAGCUCAAACCCUAGUUCAACAAAUCCUCCAAAUCGAAGCUCAAAUCAAGCCCGAAUCGUCUGCGUGAUUACAAAUUCGUGAUCGCCUAGUCGUGGGGAUCAUAAGUUUGACUCUGACAAGCUAGGUAGGAGCUUGGAAAUGAACGGGUCAAAUGUAUACAAGUUCAAGUAUGAAGCUCGCAAGGAUGCAAGGUAAGUAUAACUUACACUAGUCAUAUAUUUUAGAAUGUUCUUUUUUCGUAUUGACUACGAAUAAGACAAUGGUAAUUUAGUCACACGUUGACAAUAAUCGUCAGUUUUAAAAGACGCUUUCCCGCGUAAGACAUAAAGAGCCGAAAGUGGUAAUAAACAGUUUAUAAAUAAAAUGAGCAUACGGUGUUAAAAGGAGUGAGUCAUGUAGAUGAGAUGAUAAUAAAUAUUAUCUCGCAAAGAUAAACGGUCAAUUCGGCCAAACGGGUCAAAAGGUGUAGACAUCACCUUUUGACAAUAUCGACUAAUGAUUCUGGUGUCGAGUUAUAUGUUUACAGGAGUAGAUAUCCAAUGGAUACUCGCAUCACUCUUAAUUAGCAAUUAUAAAGCAAGGUACAUUUUGGAUGCCGGAAGACGAUCAAGCUCAUUGGAGAACCGAACACGAUAAAGAUACAUGCUUCCGCACAGUGUCCCGUCGUAAAUUUAAACGACGAAUUCAAUUACGUUAUGUCGAAUAACUUAUGAUUUGUAAAAGUUUUAAUAAACCCAUAUUUUUAUAGUAUGUGUAGUCUUAUCUACACAACUAAUUGUUGGUAAUUAUAUGUAAAACCGUUAAAUAGUAAUUAGGGUGUUACAAUUAGAGGUGGCAAUCUUGACCUAAAGGCUUUCAAGUGGGUUAGUUUGGGUUGCUUUUAAAAUUAUAUGGGUUAGUUUGGGUAAGAUAUUUUAACUAAACGGCUCACAACGGGUCAAUUAAAAUUUCACCUUGUUAUUUUCGGGUCAAAGCAGGUCGACAACUUUAAAGAAAUGGGUCGAUGUGGGUUAGCCCCUUAAAGUGGGUUAGUUUGGGUUGCUUUUAAAAUUAUAUGGGUUGGCACUAUCGUUGAUUCGUGUGUCGUGAUGAUGGGUGCACAAGAGAGAGGUGACAAUGAUGAGGUGGAACGGUUGAAGGAAAAAGUAGCGGAGUUGGAACAAGAUAAGAUAGAGAAACAUGCUAUGAUGGAGAAAAUUGAACAAGGUGCGAGGUUGUAUGCCGAAAUGAAUGAGAAAAUUCAAAUGUUAUCACAAAACCCGCCACCAACUUAAAAUGCAUUGAAUUUUAUUAUAUUGCUUUUAGAUGAUUUGGAUUUCUAUCGUGUUAGGUUUCGUAAUGUUUGAAUUAUUAG